rnacentral:rRNA from 1 species
UACGUACCGUCCAAACGUUAUUCGGAAUCACUGGGCUUAAAGAGUUCGUAGGCGGCUCAGAAAGUUGGGUGUGAAAUCCCCCGGCCUAACCGGGGAAUGGCGCUCAAAACUACUGAGCUCGAGGAAGAUAGAGGUGAGCGGAACUGAUGGUGGAGCGGUGAAAUGCGUUGAUAUCAUCAGGAACACCGGAGGCGAAGGCGGCUCACUGGGUCUUACCUGACGCUGAGGAACGAAAGCUAGGGGAGCGAAC